UACGUAGGUGGCAAGCGUUAUCCGGAUUUAUUGGGUUUAAAGGGUGCGUAGGUGGCCUGUUAAGUCAGGGGUGAAAGACGGUAGCUCAACUAUCGCAGUGCCCUUGAUACUGAUGGGCUUGAAUAAACUAGAGGUAGGCGGAAUGUGACAAGUAGCGGUGAAAUGCAUAGAUAUGUCACAGAACACCAAUUGCGAAGGCAGCUUACUAUGGUUUUAUUGACACUGAGGCACGAAAGCGUGGGGAUCAAACAGG
rnacentral:rRNA from 1 species